GUUCCUUUUCUUCCGGAAAUCGCAGCCUAUAUACUUUCUUGUUCCUCAUUGAUCAUCUUGAUCUGUAAAGUACCUAAAAACAUGUAACCAAUGAAGCAACAUAUGACAAAAAUUCUGAGACCUAAGGAAAAGCCUUGUCAACCUCACAUAAGUCAAAAGGCACAAAGAAAAAGGCAACCUUAAUAUCUCUGUGUGAAAGCCAUACUCCUUCAGCCUGUUUGGCCUGAAAUAACACUUGUGAGGUUGUGUUAUUAGUGAUAGUGCUGCCAGACCUGGAAUGAUUGAUUCCUAGAAACUCUCUGUCGAUUUCCUUUACCACAUAUGCCUGGCACCAAUGAUGGUAUGUCUUGCUUAAACCUCUAUGGUGGUAAUGCUAAUAAUUGUUGAUAAGUGAGCAAAGCAAGAAAAAUAAAAGGAGAGCAAGAAGCGUUGCCAUUUAUACAAGGUGAUGAAAUAAGAACAGAACACUUACUGCCAAGAACAGGAGCUUCACACAUGUCUCCUGACCCAGUUAAUAAAGAGGUACUGUCAUAACAGA